GAUGAAGAACGUAGCGAAAUGCGAUAAGUAAUGUGAAUUGCAGAAUUCAGUGAAUCAUCGAAUCUUUGAACGCACCUUGCACCCUUUGGCAUUCUGAAGGGUAUGCUCGUUUGAGUGUCAUUGUACUCUCACACUCCCGAUCUUUGCAUUGGGAGCAGUGGACUUGGGUUUGCUGCUUCACCGUCGCUUACCUCAAAUAGGUUAGUGCAACUCUUGGUUGGACAUAGUACGGCGUGAUAAGUGCUCUUCGCCGGUGCCUCGCAAAGAGGGUGGCCGAUCGGGAUGUUGUGCUCCAAACCGUCUUCGGACAAUCUCUGACGACUUGACCUCAAAUCGAGUAAGACUACCCGCUGAACUUAAGCAUAUCAAUAAGCGGAGGA
rnacentral:misc_RNA from 1 species